CUCAGCCCGGAAUGGCUGUGAGUUUGUGCUCUUCUCAGUGGGGGAUUGGAGAAGGUUUUGGCUGUAAUUAGCAGUCGGAGAAAAAUCCUGCUAAAUAAAAGUGUCUCACCUCUGUCCCCCCUAAGUUAUCCCAGUUUGUCCCAGCUUGGAGCUGCGCAGAAGUCAGGCAGGGGAAAUGACCUCAGGGAUACAGCUGUCAGUUCCAAGGCAGCGAGAGAAGAUGUAGCAGCCAAGGGCAGGGGAGGGGAAAGGUUUCAGAAAGCAUUUCUGUGGUGUAAUGAAUGCCAAUUUCUGCUUGCCCAGGGAGAAGAGGACGAACUCCCAGCCAUUCAGGCCUGACAGUCCCCUGCAGCGAGGGCAUACACUGGAAGAGUUCAGGGUCGAAGACAAGGCUGAGGGAAAAUCCAGGGUAUUUAUAAGGGAUGAUGGGAGGUGGGUCCAGGGUGAGAAUCCAGUGGGUAAAGGGAAAAGUGGUGUAAGGGAGGAGUAAUACAGGGCAGGGGCCGAUAAGGUAGGAUGGGUGGAACAGUGCAGUGAACAUAAACCAGUGGGGGGGGCGGGGGGGUACAGGGAUACAAGAACUUUCCAGAGCUGGGAGGAGACAAGGGAUGACAUAACUGGGAAUAGAGGCAACCAAUGGGAAAUGAGGGUUAUAAAGCUUUACCUUAAAGCUUUGCCAUAAAGAAUUUUUAAAACCUUUGACAACCUUCUUAGGAGCUAUUCUAAACUUAAACAAAUGCCCUCCAAGGUCUGGGGCCAUGGGCCAACUCCUCACCCAAAACACUGGUCUGGCUUGGCAUGUCAGUCAGUCCGAUUCCUACACUGGGCCUCUGCAUGAUAUUCGCCCAGAAGCUGCCUUUCAAGGACUGAAGUGGAACAAAAAGUAUAAAAGAAAUGUCAUUCCCAGAGGGAAAACAGUUUUCAUUUCUCUUGUGUCUACUUUUUUUUUUUUUUUUAACAGUUACCUCAAAAUUCCCGGAUCCAGAACAGCUACUCUGAGUUUUGGUAGAGAUUCCAAAGCGGGAUACAGUAGAUUUCAAAGUACACCUUGGAAAAUCAAUCGUUUGUCUGCAGCAUGCAGCAUGUAGGUGUGAUGUCUGUAACUGGUCUUAGUUGAUGCAGAGGUACUUGGAAAAAAACGUUUAAUCUUUCAUCUCUCCCCACCUGCAUUCUUCCUAAGUGUACUUUUUAUUCAGCAGGACUCGGAUGAGAGAGAGAGAGAGAGAGAGAGGGAGGAACUCUCUUCACAUCAGCGUCAAAGGAAAAAGUGUUCAGCGACUUACAGUCCUAGUGACUGUUCUGUGUAAAAGCAGGAUUGUUUUGCCAUCAGACCUUGCGUGCCGUACCAGUCUGUGCGUUAACAGGGCAGCGUCUUAGCCCAGGUCUCGGGGGCUGUGCGGAGGUUGCUCCCUGGAGCAGGGUCCCCCCGUGAGGAGGAGCCAGAGAUUGGGUCACUGGAGCAGUCUCUGGGGUUUGCCACCCUCGGUGCCACGGGACCGAGCUGUGCGAAGGCUCGAUCCCGUCGGUCCAAAGUCCUGGGCAGCGUUUCCAGCAGCAGGGGCUGGAGGCAUCGGGGGCUGCCUUUGGAGCCUUGUUCUCCCCUUGGCUUUUACAGAGGGUGCCAGACUCUGCCCUUAAGGAUCCAGUGUUGCUUUUGGACGUUGAUCCUGCAGCUGGACAGGCGGUGCAGUGAGGAGCAAGUUGCUGGCUUACGUGAUUUCUGAGUGACCUGUCACAGAAACGGGCAUCUGUGUGUGCAGGUGCUUCCUGGCAAAUCCAGAUGUGACGUGGAAAUCCUAAGGGAGGAGUUCCAGCCUUGACCACGCGUGACACAGGCUUGUGGAAAUGGAAAUGGCCUUGGCAGAAGAGCAGCUGUGAGGUGAAGCAGGACUGCAAUACAGGUGCUGCCCAGGGGGGACAUCUGUGGCCUCAGACAGCGAUGGCCUUGGAGCAAGGGGAGCCUUUGCACAGCUCACCUGCAGAGCUCAGGUGGAUGGGACAGGAUUGGUGUGGCCUGAGAAGUCCUGAACAGCUGUGUCUGUGUUCUGCAGUGCCUUGAAACCUUUCUCUGUCAGGUUUUGGAGGGGUUUCUCUUUAGGAUUUCUUGUGAUGCAGCACCCCGGGUGUCCCUUUGUGCAAAGUCCAGUGGUGAAGGAGGAUUGAGUGAGUGACAAGUGGGGUCUGGCAUGAAAAUGGUUCUGUUAAAAUGGAGCAAAGACUGCAAUAAGAAAAACGAGCAUCCCUUUACUGUCUGAAAGGGUUAGGAAUAAAAAUGCUGGAGAAGGGCACUUUUAUAUUUGAAUUGGUGUCACCUGUCUUGGAUCAAGCCCCACAGUGAGCAAUCCAGAUCAGAAGUGUGUAAGCUGGGAUCCUUUGACUUCUGCAGGGGACUUCAUUUUCUUUUCUUCUUCUUCUCUUCCAGGACCGGAGAAAUGGUUGUGGAAUUAUUAGAUGGCUUUUGUUAGAUGCAGGUUUUAUUUUUUCGGAAGUUUUUUUACUGCAGCCCUUUUAAGAUGGUUUUCAAUAAUACAGUGUAUAGUUUUAUAUUGUUUGUAGGUGGCAUAUGAUAAGAGAUGUUGUCUAGUUAAUGCUGUAUCUUUUAGUUUAGGUGUUGAUAAGGUUUUUCUUGAGUUGAGUUUUGUUUUUGUGUGUUUUUUUUUUUUUUUUGUGGGGUCUUGUUUCUAAAGGAUGCGUUGCUAAGGUUUCUGAUGGUGUUAGGGGCUGUAGCGUAAAGCAUAGGGCUGGUUUUCAGUUAUUUUGUGAUGGCUUUUAUUAUUGUGAGUAUUCAGUGUUUGUUUUGGGGGUUUGAGGUAAUGUCAUGUAGCUGAUUUAUUUGUUUUUUACUCUUAUAAUUGGGAUAUUAUAUGGGUUAUGUUAUUUAUAUUGGCUUGUUAUUAUAUCAAAGGGGUUUUAUGUGUUUGGUUUGUUUGAUUAGUAGUGUAUGUUUUAUUAGUUUUAUUAUUAUAUCAUUGGGCUUUUGUUUAUUAGCAGUAUAUGUUUUAUACUUGCAGAUAAUACGGGAGAUAUUGUUUAUGGUUAUAUUUAUCUUUUGGUUUUGUGUUUAUCUGUAGGUGGUAUUUGUGUAUUGAUGGUUUGAGACAUAAUGGGUUGAUUGAGCUUGGAGUUAACUUCUUUUGGCGUAGUUAAUUUAGGUUUAUUUGUGCAAUUUUUAUUUUUGGGUUUGAUUGGUUUGUUUGUUGUUUUGGUGUUUUUUAUUAUUUUUAUUUUUUGGGAACAUGGAUAUUUAUAGAGUGGGUUAUUUUAGGUAGGUUUUUUUUUUACUGUAGUGGUUUUUUUUUUUUUUAAUAUUUUAGUGCUUUUAGGUUCUUGUAAUGUUGUCAAUUAGUUUGGGUUUUUAUAUUUCUUUGGUUUUUUUGGAAUGUUUAGGGUCAGUUGCCUUGUUCUGAGUUAAAUAAGAUGGUUUGAUUUAUUUUUUGUAGUAGUUCUUGUGAUUUGUUAUGAGGGUUUCUAUACAGUUUUAUUUCUGUUUCAUAUUUAGGAUGUGAUGGGAAUUGUUAGUGACAAGAGUGUAGUGUGUUUCUUUUUUUAUUGCUGGUAGUGGGUUGUAUGGUGUAGGUUUUGUAUUUUGCAGAGUAUUUUUUGCUUUUAUUUAGUGAGAUCCAAGUUUUUGGUUUUAGGUUCAUUUGUAAUUAUUUUCACCUCUUUGGGGAUUUAGAUUUUUGGUGUGAGUGCCCUGCCUGAUGACAGUAAUUGGUUGAUUUCAUGUGGUAUUGGUGGCAUGGUGGGUAGAGGGCAUUUUUGUUUUGACUAUUAAUUUUAAUAUUGGUAGAUGGGAUAGUAGGAGGAUUUGUGUUUUAGUGUUGAUUGGUUUUGAGGUGGUUUGGAUUUUUUGAUAACUUAAGGUGUUUUGUGAGCUGGUGGAUGUUUUAUGCUCUUGGUAGGAACACGGUGCUGUUUUCUCGAGUGUAUCCUUAGGAAGUGGAUUUUUUCAUUAGGUUUUUUGUUUGUUUUUCACGGUAAAAUGUGUUUUUAGGAGAACUUGGGUAACUUUAAAUAUAUUUUGGUUGAAGUUUUUUGUGUACUGUAGAUGAUGUGGAGUUUUCUUUUAGUGUAAUUUGUAUAUAAUCUGUGGUAGCCAGUAGGAUUGUGUUUUUAGUUUUGGGGUAGUUGUUUUUAGGUGUAUUGUACGUUUGUUUGGUGAAGGUAAAUUGAGGUUUGUGUUGGGCUGUUGGAGGAACAGAGAAAAAUGCUUUGGCCAUGUUAAUACGAGUGUGCAAUUCAGUUUGGAUUUUAGUUUGUAUUGGAGUUUUAAUACAUUUGGUUCUGUGUUGUGUAAUGGUGGAGUUCUUUAAGGAAUGAUAGCUGGUAGUAGUUUAUUUUCUGUAUGUUGGUGUAUAGGUUGAAUGGGGUUGUUGAAGGGCGUGUGGGUUUUGUUGCUUAGUUUUGGGUUUUGAGUUACGGAGUAUUUUGUGGAUGGGACAAGUAUCUUGAGUUGGGUGCUGUUGGUAGUGUCUUGUUGAGGGGGUAAUUGGUAUUUGUUAGGGUUUUUUAAAGUAGCUUUAUUACAGUUGUUUGGUAGUUGAGCUAAGGUGUUGAUUUGUUUUCUCUUGGUUUGGCAGUAGAUAUAUAAAAUGCUUAUUUGAGUUUUGAGGGCUUCUGGAACAUUUGUACUGGAAGAGAUUUAGAGUGUUUAGAAUGCUUCACUUUUUGGGUUUGUUAUAAUGGGAUUUAAAUACUUCUCUAGCUACUUUGUUAGGUUUUAUUACAGUUAAAUAUUGUGCUUCCUUGAUUUUGAUAUUAACAGAUAUGGGAUUAGUUUUUCUAUGUCGUGAUGGCUUUAGUGUGUGCUGUGUAUGAGUGUUGACAAAGGUUUUAUUGUUUCGGGUGUCCCUUUGUGCAAAGUCCAGUGGUGAAGGAGGAUUGAGUGAGUGACAAGUGGGGCCUGGCAUGAAAAUGGUUCUGUUAAAAUGGAGCAAAGACUGCAAUAAGAAAAAUGAGCAUUCAUUUUAAUGUCUGAAAGGGUUAGGAACAAAAAUGCUGGAGAGGGGCACUUUUAUAUUUGAAUUGGUGUCACCUGUCUUGGAUCAAGCCCCACAGCGAGCAGUCCAGAUCAGAAGUGUGAAAGCUGGGAUCCUUUGACUUCUGCAGGGGACUUCAUUUUCUUUUCCUCUUCUUCUCUUCCAGGACCAGAGAAAUGGUUCCACUCCUCCCAUCUUUGCCAAAAGCUGUGCUGUUUGAGGAGCCAGAGCCAAGAGGCUUCAGCACCAGGGCUCUGCACUGGAGGGCUCCCGGUCCUGCCCCCGCAGGGUUCCCCUUUUCCUCCCCGCUGGGAUGAAGUGUCUAUGGAAUCUGGGAUCUGGGUGAAACUGCAGCUCUGCUGGUAUCCAGGGACGUGAGGUUCCGGGGGACUGCGUUUCCCUGUGGCUUUCCAGGUCGGCAGCAGCCGGAGGAAAUGGGGUGCCAGAGCCGUGCCCCAUCAGGCCGUGUUUGCCUCUGAGGAACAGAGAGUCCGGGCUGAGGUGAGAUU